GAUGAACGCUAGCGGCAGGCCUAACACAUGCAAGUCGAGGGGUAAGGUCAAGCUUGCUUGACACACGACCGGCGCACGGGUGAGUAACGCGUAUGCAACCUACCUUUAACUGGGGCAUAGCUCCGAGAAAUCGGAAUUAAUACCCCAUAAUAUUUCGUUAUCGCAUGGUGAUGAAAUUAAAGCUCCGGCGGUUAAAGAUGGGCAUGCGUGACAUUAGUUUGUUGGUGAGGUAACAGCUCACCAAGACUACGAUGUCUAGGGGGUCUGAGAGGAUGAUCCCCCACACUGGUACUGAGACACGGACCAGACUCCUACGGGUGGCAG
rnacentral:rRNA from 1 species